GAUGAGCAUGCGUCCCAUUAGCUUGUUGGUAAGGUAACGGCUUACCAAGGCAACGAUGGGUAGGGGUCCUGAGAGGGAGAUCCCCCACACUGGUACUGAGACACGGACCAGACUCCUACGGGAGGCAGCAGUGAGGAAUAUUGGUCAAUGGGCGCAAGCCUGAACCAGCCAUGCCGCGUGCAGGAUGAAGCAUCUAUGGUGUGUAAACUGCUUUUGUACGAGAAGAAACACUCCUACGUGUAGGAGCUUGACGGUAUCGUAAGAAUAAGGACCGGCUAACUCCGUGCCAGCAGCCGCGGUAAUACGGAGGGUCCAAGCGUUAUCCGGAAUCAUUGGGUUUAAAGGGUCCGUAGGCGGUUUUGUAAGUCAGUGGUGAAAGCCCAUCGCUCAACGGUGGAACGGCCAUUGAUACUGCAAGACUUGAAUUAUUGGGAAGCAACUAGAAUAUGUAGUGUAGCGGUGAAAUGCUUAGAUAUUACAUGGAAUACCAAUUGCGAAGGCAGGUUGCUACCAAUACAUUGACGCUGAUGGACGAAAGC
rnacentral:rRNA from 1 species